UACGUAGGGUCCGAGCGUUGUCCGGAAUUACUGGGCGUAAAGAGCUCGUAGGUGGUUUGUCACGUUGUUCGUGAAAACUCACAGCUUAACUGUGGGCGUGCGGGCGAUACGGGCAGACUAGAGUACUGCAGGGGAGACUGGAAUUCCUGGUGUAGCGGUGGAAUGCGCAGAUAUCAGGAGGAACACCGGUGGCGAAGGCGGGUCUCUGGGCCGUAACUGACGCUGAGGAGCGAAAGCAUGGGGAGCGAACAGG
rnacentral:rRNA from 1 species